rnacentral:rRNA from 1 species
GAGAUUAGUUUGAUCCUGGCUCAGAUUGAACGCUGGCGGCAUGCCUUACACAUGCAAGUCGAACGGCAGCACGGGGGCAACCCUGGUGGCGAGUGGCGAACGGGUGAGUAAUACAUCGGAACGUGUCCUGUAGUGGGGGAUAGCCCGGCGAAAGCCGGAUUAAUACCGCAUACGCUCUACGGAGGAAAGGGGGGGGAUCUUAGGACCUCCCGCUACAGGGGCGGCCGAUGGCAGAUUAGCUAGUUGGUGGGGUAAAGGCCUACCAAGGCGACGAUCUGUAGCUGGUCUGAGAGGACGACCAGCCACACUGGGACUGAGACACGGCCCAGACUCCUACGGGAGGCAGCAGUGGGGAAUUUUGGACAAUGGGGGCAACCCUGAUCCAGCAAUGCCGCGUGUGUGAAGAAGGCCUUCGGGUUGUAAAGCACUUUUGUCCGGAAAGAAAACGCCGUGGUUAAUACCCGUGGCGGAUGACGGUACCGGAAGAAUAAGCACCGGCUAACUACGUGCCAGCAGCCGCGGUAAUACGUAGGGUGCAAGCGUUAAUCGGAAUUACUGGGCGUAAAGCGUGCGCAGGCGGUUCGCUAAGACAGAUGUGAAAUCCCCGGGCUUAACCUGGGAACUGCAUUUGUGACUGGCGGGCUAGAGUAUGGCAGAGGGGGGUAGAAUUCCACGUGUAGCAGUGAAAUGCGUAGAGAUGUGGAGGAAUACCGAUGGCGAAGGCAGCCCCCUGGGCCAAUACUGACGCUCA